UACGAAGGGGGGCUAGCGUUGCUCGGAAUCACUGGGCGUAAAGCGCACGUAGGCGGCUUUCUAAGUCAGGGGUGAAAUCCUGGAGCUCAACUCCAGAACUGCCUUUGAUACUGGAGUGCUUGAGUCCGGGAGAGGUGAGUGGAACUCCGAGUGUAGAGGUGAAAUUCGUAGAUAUUCGGAAGAACACCAGUGGCGAAGGCGGCUCACUGGCCCGGUACUGACGCUGAGGUGCGAAAGCGUGGGGAGCAAACAGG
rnacentral:rRNA from 1 species